rnacentral:lncRNA from 1 species
UUUUGGGUUGAGCACCUUUGACUUAGGAAGAUCUAGAUUUUUCAAAUUUUGAGGAUGAAAUUUUCUUAAGGGGGGAAAUAUGAAAAUCGGUCCCUUUGGAUCCGAUUCAUCCUAAAGCUGGCAUCCCUUGCCGACUUCAUCGGAAACCGAAUAAAAAAAAGAGAGAUGCAGGGGAAGGGAAGAAGAUGAGUUCAAUUGAAAUAGGAGAACCGUGUCUCCUAUU